UUUAAAAUCGUCCUUCGAAUUGGAAACGUAAGACAUUCUAAAUAAAAAAGAGCAUUUCAAUUUCAGAAGAAUUCCAGAAAAACGAAUAUUCUAUAUUUCAUUUUCUUAUUAAACAAUUUUUAAGUGCGCAGUACUUUUUAUUCAUUUUUCUACAGUUUUCUUUUUACUUUUGUACGUAUUUUUUGUAUAUAGGUAUAUUCGUUCCAAUAUCGUAAUAUCUUAUUUAUUUAAACUUUUACUUAUUAGAAUAUUUCUUAGAACGCUAAAAUUAACAUGCGUACUGUCAAAUCAUUAAACAAAACUAAUCUAAAAUUAUCAGCACAUUUUCUGUUUUUACAUACAUGUUAUCAGCAUAUGUAACACGCAUCGUAAAAUUAUCUGCAUUGUGAUUUUUUACGUCCAACAUUUAUGUUAUUUUUGCGUAUAUAAAGACCACAUGUCACCUAUUUUCUUAAAUAUAUUCUUACACAACAUUAAGUAUAUUGUCCUUACUUGUUAACGAAAUGGAGGUUGUGAAAUGUCUCUUUGAAAUUUUGGUAAUCGCCAUAAUAACCAUUGUUUCCAUCGCUUCAGGGUGUCCAGAAGCCAAAGCUGACGCACUACUUAAGACUGGUGUAAUAGCAUCAUUGGGUAAUCGUUAAACGUGCGCGAAAACAGACAUGUCAACAAUAAAGCGAAGCAAGAUGACUAUCAUAACUAAGUGAUAUUUGAUAUUCAUGAUAUAACAUGUAUAAUGCAACAUAUGCGCAUUGCAAUGGUGAAAUAAAUGCAUAGUAAAAAUUAA